UUUCCGUAGGUGAACCUGCGGAAGGAUCAUUCAUAAUAAGUGUUUUAUGGCACUUUUUUAAAUCCAUAUCCACCUUGUGCGCAAUGUCAGGGUUGAUUUUUCUCUCGAGAGGUCAGCCCCAAACAUCAACUAUAUCUCAACUCUUUGUCUGAAAAAUAUUAUGAAUAAAACAAUUCAAAAUACAACUUUCAACAACGGAUCUCUUGGCUCUC
rnacentral:misc_RNA from 1 species